rnacentral:rRNA from 1 species
UGUUCAGGAAAUCUGGCCUCCUACUUCCAAUCUAGCCGCUCCUAGAGGANCCCGCGUCUGAUUAGCUAGUUGGUGGGUANAGGCCCCCCUAGCCGACGAUCAGUACCCGGCCUGAGCGGNUGAUCGNCCACACUGGGACUGAGNCGCGGCCCAGACUCCUACGGGAGNCAUCAGUGGUGUAUAUUGGNCNAUGGGCGCNAGCCUGAUCCANCGACGCCGCGUGGAGGAUGAAGGUCUUCGGAUCGUAAACUCCUGUCAGACGGGACGNAGGCGGCGGUGUGAACAGCUUCGAANCAUGNC